UGAGGGAGUGACAUGAUAAACGUCAUAUUUUCAUAGAAAUUGUAUAGAUAUUGAUGAUGCCACAAUUGUCAUUGCAAAUACCACGCAGAGUUAGAUUGAUCCGACUCUAAUUUCUGAAACUAGACAUUUUUUCAUGUACGUAACUUGUUCUUAAACUGGGUAGGUACCUAAAUAUAAUAACGCGAGUAUUCUAGCAGUGGCUUGAAGCAAGUUUCCCACGGAUUUGACUGGUAGAGACCGCCUAAAUCCCUGGAUAUCGCGCACACACCACUAUCGCGGGCGGGAUAAGCUCGGGCUUAACGCCUUUACAAUAUGCUCGCUUAGCUCCAUUAUAGAUAUUCAUGUCUAUCGGAGUUACCACUGCAACUUUUUUACUCAAAUGGUCCUGAGGCGAUUGGUCCCUCUUAAACGUCGCCGUCGUUGCUAUCGGACAUAGGUAUAAGUACAUCGCUUAUUAAGUGAAAACAAUUUUUAGUAUGAAAUUUGCAGUUGGUACGAUGACGCGCAGAUUUGUCCAAUUUAACCUUUAAUAACAUGACAAUACGAGUCAAGGCCCGCAUCGUCGUGAAUGACACAAUCUAUAUGACAUACUCGUAAGUCUCGUAACGCACACACACAGGUACCUGUAUGGCUACCAUGAGAUCGGAAUACGUUACUCGAUAUCGAGAACGUUACGGAAAAUGUAUGGAGAAAGUGUCCAGAGCUCCAAGUGGUUCCAUAUGGUACUAAAAAUUUGUAACUGGUACCAUGAGUCACUAACGUUUUAACUUUAUUGUUCGUCUAGUUUUCGAUACGUGCCUAACUUCACACCUAAAGCGCUCUCUUUCUAACUAUAUAAAGAAAACUGAGCCAGAAUUAUUCUAGUGUCAAUAGUAAAAUCUCAUUACUAUGGAGGGUAGAAGUAAGGAGAACAAUCUAUGUGUAUGAAAAGUGUCCAUCAAAAUUCCUUAAAUAAUUUUUGACUUUGAUGAAAAUUCUCAAAUCACUGACAGCGCACUUCACUCCGUCAAUAACACUAGUAUUGUAAGUCUGUAUAUAACUAACAAUCUAUGGGUAAAUUGGCCUGAAAUAAAGAAAUAAAUUAAAUUAAAUAACGACUAAGUUCAUGUCAUGUCUUUGAGCUACCUUAGCGCCACCGGAGAGAUUGCGUACUAUUAUUUACAGCUGCCAGCUGAACACUUUAGCAACAGUUUUCCCAUAAGAAAUUGUUCUCCUUACCUCUACCCUACAUACUCAUCGUCAUGGCAUCGAAAAAUACCGUAGGUAUAAUUUCGACGUGACAUUUCUGUCAACUUGUAAACAAAACAAAUUCACAGAAUUUUCACGAUUAUCCUAGCAAAUUCUCAGCGUAAUAUUUAUUAAUCUAUAACAGUACGUAAAGUUCAAGCAAAUAUUUUAGGGAGAAAUCAAUCAGUAGCUCGAAAAAGGCUGAUUUGAUACAAAGUAUGAUUGAAAACAAAAUAUCCAUGCAUACCCGGAUGGCAUCCAGCGCAUAUAGAAGAUCGUUCAUAUGCAUGUGGAGGUUAAUUAAGAAUUAAGGCUCAAUACAAAAAACAGUACAUGUAUACAUGCAUACAUAUAUAUAAUCACGCCUAUUUCCCGGAGGUGUGGGCAGAGACCACGGAUUUACACUUGCUACGAUCCUGGCGUACCUCUUUCGCUUCCUUCACUUUUAUAACUUUCCUCAUACGCCGGUGCGCAGUAUAGGGUGCUCUUGCUUGACAUGGCCCUUCUUCGGGAUUUUCACGAUUUGAUCUAAUCAGGGAAUAUCCGCCGAGGUACCUAUUCCAGCGGGAGAAGAGGGUUUCUGUUCUAUUUCUGUACUACUCAAACAAUGUGAUCUAUUUCAGUUGAUGGAUUUUUUAUGUAUAUCUUUAAUAAUUAACAAAAAAUAAAAUCGACAUCAAAUAUUACCAAAAGCGCCAUA